rnacentral:rRNA from 1 species
UACGUAGGGUCCGAGCGUUGUCCGGAAUUAUUGGGCGUAAAGGGCGCGUAGGCGGCCUACUAAGUCAGACGUGAAAUCCCCCGGCUUAACCUGGGAACUGCGUCUGAUACUGGAAGGCUUGAGGAUGGGAGAGGGAUGUAGAAUUCCCGGUGUAGUGGUGGAAUGCGUAGAUAUCGGGAGGAACACCAGUGGCGAAGGCGGUUACCUGGAGCUUUGCUGACGCUGAUGCGCGAAAGCGUGGGGAGCGAGUCCGG